UACGGAGGGGGCUAGCGUUGUCCGGAUUUAUUGGGCGUAAAGAGCUCGUAGGCGGCUUGUUGCGUCGUCCGUGAAAACCCGCAGCUCAACUGCGGGCUUGCGGACGAUACGGGCAGGCUGGAGUUCGGUAGGGGAGACUGGAAUUCCUGGUGUAGCGGUGAAAUGCGCAGAUAUCAGGAGGAACACCGGUGGCGAAGGCGACUCUUUGGCCUGUAACUGACGCUGAGGCGCGAAAGCGUGGGGAGCAAACAGG
rnacentral:rRNA from 1 species